rnacentral:rRNA from 1 species
AACUUUCGACAACGGAUCUCUUGGCUCUCGCAUCGAUGAAGAACGCAGCGAAAUGCGAUAAGUAAUGUGAAUUGCAGAAUUCAGUGAAUCAUCGAAUCUUUGAACGCACCUUGCGCCCCUCGGCAUUCCUUGGGGCACGCCCGUUCGAGUGUCACGAC